rnacentral:rRNA from 1 species
GACGAACGCUGGCGGCGUGCUUAACACAUGCAAGUCGAACGGUAAGGCCCUUCGGGGUACACGAGUGGCGAACGGGUGAGUAACACGUGGGUGAUCUGCCCUGCACUUCGGGAUAAGCCUGGGAAACUGGGUCUAAUACCGGAUAGGACCACUGCCUGCAUGGGUGGUGGUGGAAAGCUUUUGCGGUGUGGGAGGGGCCCGCGGCCUAUCAGCUUGUUGGUGGGGUGAUGGCCUACCAAGGCGACGACGGGUAGCCGGCCUGAGAGGGUGACCGGCCACACUGGGACUGGGACACGGCCCAGCCUCCUACGGGAGGCAGCAGUGGGGAAUAUUGCACAAUGGGCGCAAGCCUGAUGCAGCGACGCCGCGUGAGGGAUGACGGCCUUCGGCUUGUGAACCUCUUUCAGCACCGACGAAGCGCAAGUGACGGUAGGUGCAGAAGAAGGACCGGCCAACUACGUGCCAGCAGCCGCCGCCG